AUUGAACGCUGGCGGCAGGCUUAACACAUGCAAGUCGAGCGGAGAUGAGGUGCUUGCACCUUAUCUUAGCGGCGGACGGGUGAGUAAUGCUUAGGAAUCUGCCUAUUAGUGGGGGACAACAUUCCGAAAGGAAUGCUAAUACCGCAUACGCCCUACGGGGGAAAGCAGGGGAUCUUCGGACCUUGCGCUAAUAGAUGAGCCUAAGUCGGAUUAGCUAGUUGGUGGGGUAAAGGCCUGCCAAGGCGACGAUCUGUAGCGGGUCUGAGAGGAUGAUCCGCCACACUGGGACUGAGACACGGCCCAGACUCCUACGGGAGGCAGCAGUGGGGAAUAUUGGACAAUGGGCGGAAGCCUGAUCCAGCCAUGCCGCGUGUGUGAAGAAGGCCUUUUGGUGGUAAAGCACUUUAAGCGAGGAGGAGGCUACCUGGAUUAAUACUCUAGGAUAGUGGACGUUACUCGCAGAAUAAGCACCGGCUAACUCUGUGCCAGCCGCCGCAGUAAAAC
rnacentral:rRNA from 1 species